rnacentral:lncRNA from 1 species
GUUAACUGUACUUUACCCACUGCUCCUACAGUUUAGAAAUGGGGUGGAGGGAAAAUAGUAUAUGCAAAGGCCCAGAGGUCUGAAACACUGUGGUUUACUCUGAGAGAGAUACACUGAAUUAGUGUAGAAGAGAGCUGGAUCAGGAAAAAUCUUAUGAGAAUUAAGUUGAAAUUACACCAGACCCCCAACUUGUACUCUUUUAUGUCUUUGCUCUUGUCAAAAAAUUAAUUUCUUUAAGAGGAAGUCAUCCUAGGUAUAUAUUUAAAAUUGCCAGAUUUUCUGUUAUAUCUUUAAACCAUCUGUUUUAUACUGAAAUUUCUGGUGGUUUAAGAUUAAAGAAAAAGAUUCAGAAAAGAAUAAAAUAAAAUUAGGAAUGUGUGACAGAUUAAAGCCUUGUUUAGUGUUUUCUGAUUUUUAUGUUUUUUAAUUGCUAAACUUUCUUGCCCCUUGCUAAGAAUAAUAUGAUUGAAGAAAAAAAAUUAAGAAGUUAUUUAUCACUUAGAAAGUGAUAAUUGUAAAAUCAUGUUAGCAGGUUAUGAUCUGUAUUUAGGUAAAGUCAUGACAUAGAAAAGCUUGUAUUUACAUAUAUUGAAUAGCUUAUGUCUGCAUAAAUAUGUACUAGGUUAUAAUGUAUACACACAUAUACACAAAACCUGCUAUGUGUUGUUGUAAGCAAAGUUUGAAAAACCCCGUUUCAUAUUUCUAUAUGCUUACUGACAUUUCUGUAUAUAUUUUAGAUAGUCUAGUCAUUUAUUCUUGGUAUUUGAAGAGCCACUGCCUUGUCCCCUCCCUUCCUGUCCAACUUAUUGGGUCAUCACUAUGCCAGAGACUGUUCUGCUUUGUAUUUAUUGAUAUAUUUUUUC